ACUCACGCGGACGAAUAGUGGCGACUUCUUCUCUUCUGUUCGCAUUUUCCUCUUCCUCGCGCGGCUAGGGCUCGCGAUCCUCAGCACCUCCCGCACCCUUCUCUUCUUCCUCACCACCGGCUGGUGGCUCUCUUGUCUUCCCUUGUCACCGGCCGGCCAUCCACAACCCACCACUUCCUCUUCUAGAUUCUAAGCGGCGAGCGACAGCAAGCAUUCUUCCAGGCGGUGACACGCAACGACGACGACUCCGAUCAAUCCAUCUCGCCGGAGAGAGUUUCUCCGGUGUGACCUCCAUCUUCCGACUUCCUUCUGGUAGCUCCACUAUUUGGGGUUCAGGCGGCAGAGCAAGGAGGUGAGCGGCGGUGGUUCAUUCCAUUUCACAACAUUUCCAUUUCCGGUCAACUUCCAGCGAGGGGGUUCUUCAGUGGAAGAUUCGUUCAUCACAUUAUCGUUGUCGAAGUUUACAGCAAUCCGACAGAGAGCUACUGUUCACCAGAAUUCGGGGUUCAAUCGCCGGGUUUUCAUGUGACGACGAGGGUAGUCGUUGGUAUUUGAAAAAGUUGUGUGGAUUGUGGUUGGGAUUCUUAGUUUAUUUUAUGUUCAUUGCUUAUGUUUACUUGUGUUGAUGUUUUGUGAUUGAAUGCCUGUAUUAACUUGAUUUUCCAUGUUUUUUAUUUAAAUUGGACGUAGUAUGUUUAAUUAGUUUCACGCACGCAAUAUGUUCGAUGAAUUGCUUCAACCAAUAGUUAGGUUUAAUUUGAUGCAUUUUAGUUUGGUUAAUUCUUGCUUUGCCUUGUUCUUUCAAUUUCGUUAAUUUCUAGUUUUGAUUGAAUGCAAUUAGAAUAGAUUAGUUUAGGUUUUGUUUCAUGCUUUAGGUUUCGUUACAUGCUAGUUUCGUUAAUGCUUUACUUCAUGUUGUCCUUUUAAUUUCUGCAAUUGUAGUUAGGUUAGACUUAGCUUUUAUUACUUGUAUUGUCUUUCAUUUACUAGAUUAGGUUUCAUUUAAUGCUUUGCCAUUUCAUUCCUUAGUUUAAUUAUGUUGAUGGUUAAUCCAUAGUGUAGAGUGACAAUGCGUUGUGGAUUAAUUGUUGUCACUUAGUUAGAUUUCAUUCCAGUAUUAGAUUAGUUUCCUACUUGCUUCACUUUUCAUUUGUUAGGUUUAGAAUUAAAAUCCAAAACCUCCAUUUCCAUAUUAGAAACUCCAAAAUAGAAAUAGCACACGAUCCUAGAUUACCAUCCUAUCGUUGCUUUCAUUGGGAGACGGCCUGAGCCAAUUCUAUACUUCAUUCAUGUAGUUAGAGGGGGUUCAGUACUUAAAAUAGUUUUUUUGAUAUCAAUUUCACGACCAUAUCAGUGAGCUGCUUAAACAAUAAAACCAUUCAUUGAUAUCUUUGGUGCCAAAGGCGGAUCAUGCCCCAUGAGUUUCAUAUUACCGGCCUAUCUCCUGUUACAACAUGUUCUACAAGGUCAUUGCAACGGUAUUGGCUUGCCAGUUAGCUGGGGUAUUGGGGUACUUGUUGGAUCCAGUGUAAGCAGCUUUUGUGCAAGGAUGAUCUAUAGAUGACAACAUUAAUCUCACACAGGAGUUGCUAUAGAAGUAUACGCAAAAGAGAAUCUCCCCGAGGUGUCUGAUCAAGGUGGAUUUACAAAAGACAUUUGUCUAAAUGACAGUAUCUAUAGAUUCUUUAGUGGGCAUCGCGGUCUAAGGAAAGGUGACCCCUUAUCUCCCCUUCUUUUUGGACUAUGCAUAGUAGUAUUGUCACGUAGAUUGCAGGUUGCCUCCUCAAUGUCUUCUCUUCAUUUUCAUCCUAUGUGUAAAGAGGUUGGCAUUACCCACAUUGCAUAUGCCGAUGAUUUGAUGUUGUUUGCCCAAGCGGAUGAGUCCUCGAUAAAGGUAUUAGCGGAUUGCUUGGAGCAUUUCGGCAAUGAAAAAGGAUUGCGAGCUAACUCAUUGAAAUCACAUAUGUAUAUCACGGGGAUUGAUGAUAGAAUCAAGGACCGGUUGCUCCAAAUUAUUGGGUUCCAAGAGGGAACGUUUCCAUUUUGAUACUUGUAAAUUCCACUAGCGACGGAGAAGCUAUGAAUUGCAAACUAUGGACCAUUACUUGAUACUAUAACAAGGAAGAUCAAUUCUUGGCCAAAACAUAUUUUAUCAUAUGCAGGGCGCUUGGAGUUGGUUAAGACGGUCCUUCUAGGAGUGGAGUAUUAUUGGCUAUCUAUGUGGCAAAAAAAGGUGAUUCGCUCGCUUCUAGCGUCCUCGCCAACUCAUUCCUAGGCCAACACGGAGGAGGUAAAUCAUGGGUGGCUGCUAGCCAUUAGUGCAGGUGGCAAGAUAUGGGGAAGACAUGCUCAGACAUGCCGAGUUUUGACCCCAAUACCUCAUGUGGCAACACUCCAUGCUUUAACCGCCGCACCACCCCGAGGAGACAUGUUAUUGGCUAUCUAUGUUCCCUAUUCCCGAUGGUGUCAUUGACAAGAUCAAAUACAUUUGUUUGGUCUUCAAAAUAUCCCCCUAUAUCAUGGGCUACUAUUUGUCUUCCUUGGCAUGAUGGUGGUUAUGGACUUUGCGACCUUCAUGCAUGGAAUGAAGCUUUACUUAGCAAGACACUUUGGGAGAUUCAAUUCAAUGCAGAUUCACUAUGGGUGAGAUGAGUGCAUCAACACUAUCUCAAAGGGAUUGAUUUUUGGCAAUGGGAAGUUAAAGCCUCGGACUCUCCUCUUAUUAAACGGCUUGUGAACAUUCGGAAUAAAAUCCAAGGGGCUACAAUUGAAGUGGGAAGGCGAACAUGUUGAUGGGCGAGUGGUUUGCGGCGGGAAAAAAUAGGACUGCAAAUGCAUAUGGUUUCUUCAUACUAAGAGGUCCUGAGGUGGUGUGGACAUUAUUGGUUUAGAGGCCGAAGAUUAUGCUGAAGCAUCGGUUCAUUAUGCUUUGCCAAGGUCAAGAUGAGUCGAAUGGUCACUUAUUUUGAGUGAGUGCCCUAUCACAUGUGCUCUUUGGAACAAGGUGCAAAGAUGGUUAGAAAUAAGUUAUGAAGUUAACUUAGUGGUGGCGCUAUUUCACAUUCUUGGUCAACACUACAAUGGUGCAAGCCGACGAAUGAAGAUCCGGCAUCUUAGAAUUUCUAGUAUGAUCUAUGUUCUAUAGGAAGCAUACAACAGAUGUCGCUAUAAGGGGAUGGUUCUUGAUGUUGCAGAAGAUUCAAAUAUAUAUUUAUCGUUUUGUGGACUGAAAUUGAAGUGGUUAGCCUGAAUUUGGGUGGUCUUCUGGAGGUAAAAGUGUGGACAGACCAGAAUGUGCGGAUGGUGCAGAUAGUGCGGCCAAUGGAGAAGUCCUCGUUCAUGUGCAAUUUGACGGAGAUUUCACAUUGUAGCAGAUUUCAGGUGCCUGAGCAGAUUUCACGUUCGUGGCACAUGCAAAGCUUUAGCAGAUUUGAUGGGUUGGUGGCACAUGCAGGGCUUGAGCAACUUUUAACGUUGGUAGCACAUACAGAUUGGUUUGAUGGAGUUAUGUUGCAUGUCAUUACAUUCCUUGUCUUUUGGUUUUGUACGUGAGUCAAGGAAAGUCAUGGACUUACCGUUGAUUGACACCUCAUGUCUAGAUAGAGGGGGUGUGCUUAUGUUCUAGCUUGUGAUGUAUGCUUUUGAUUGUAUGUUUGAGGUUGUAAUGGCUUAAAUAUUUUAUAAUAUAUUUAUCUAUUUCCGUGAAACCAUGUCGGUUGAAGAUAAACUAUUUAACUUUGGUCACUGGUUUUUUGGUAUAAGUUUGGCUCGUUUGCUUAAGAAAGUAGUUGACAACUUCUAGUUUUGAAUCAGGAAUACCUACAGAGACUUCUUUUGAUGUACAAAGUAGAAAUAGUUCUAGAAAUGGUUCUUGAUGAACCUGAAUUUGCACCGACCCCUAUUGAACUUACCAUCGCCACUCCAACACAUAAGGCAGAUAGUUGAGACACUGUAGAUUUUCUUAUUUGUCUUUGAUGAGAAUACUUGUGAUUUUACACUAGUUUUACUUUAUUUUUUUGGUUCAUUUUCCCUCUCCUUCCAUCCCUUAACUUUCCACCUAAACAAAAUUAGCUUCAUGUUUCAUCUUCAUUUAUUCUUCUGUUUUUGGUAUACAGGUAUUAAGUGAAACAAAUACAAAAGCACCAGCAGUAGAGGAAAAUAAUUCAUCGGCUCUAACCAUUGUUCCAACCAGUACAACUACAGACUCAGGAACUAUUCAGGAUGGAGCAUUUGAUCCAACCAAAUGGGAACUUGCUCUGGCGACUACUCCAAGUAACAAUAAUUCAACUGUUCUUGAAAGCAGAAUGCUUAUAUGAUGAGGCAGCAUACCGACAACAUCAGCAACUUUAUGAAACACCAAGUUCAAAUUCAUUUACUGAGCCAUUUGAAAUGUCUCACCAAAUUGCUACACCUCCUGCAGUUCAAAUGGCUUCCAUGGCUCAGCAACAGCAGCAAAUGUUCUCUAUGUUCUUGCAAUCGAAUUCAUUCGUUCAGCCAAUCUCUCCACUGCACUCUAAUGUUGGGGCUGCAGUGAAUCCAUUUGGUGAUGAUGUUGGGCGCAGAACUUUCCCUAUCGACAAUCUCCAACACCAACCGAACAAUCCUUUUGGAAAUCCCCAGGUAUAACUCAAGAAUGAUUUCCUCAUUCCUGCUACCUAAUGAUUUUUCUUUUUUCUUUUUUUUCCUGUGCUCUCAUUGUUUUUUUUUUUAAUGUAAAUUUUGAUUUUGAAUGAUCGCCUUGUUUAUUAAAUAAUGGGCAAAUAAUAAUCAAAUCAUUGGAAACU